UUCUUCUUUUUUUGCCAGCCUUUUUUUUCUUCUUCUUCUGAU
rnacentral:sRNA from 1 species